rnacentral:rRNA from 1 species
AUUAAACGCUGGCGGCAUGCCUUACACAUGCAAGUCGAACGGUAGCGCGGGGCAACCUGGCGACGAGUGGCGAACGGGUGAGUAAAGCAUCGGAACGUGCCCUGGAAUGGGGGAUAACGUAGCGAAAGUUACGCUAAUACCGCAUAUUCUGUGAGCAGGAAAGCAGGGGAUCGCAAGACCUUGCGUUCUGGGAGCGGCCGAUGUCGGAUUAGCUAGUUGGUGGGGUAAAAGCCUACCAAGGCGACGAUCCGUAGCGGGUCUGAGAGGAUGAUCCGCCACACUGGAACUGAGACACGGUCCAGACUCCUACGGGAGGCAGCAGUGGGGAAUUUUGGACAAUGGGGGCAACCCUGAUCCAGCCAUGCCGCGUGAGUGAAGAAGGCCUCGG